rnacentral:rRNA from 1 species
ACUAAAUAGUGGUGCUAGCAUUUGCUGGUUUUUCCACUUCUUAGAGGGACUAUCGGUUUCAAGCCGAUGGAAGUUUGAGGCAAUAACAGGUCUGUGAUGCCCUUAGACGUUCUGGGCCGCACGCGCGCUACACUGACGGAGCCAACGAGUCUAACCUUGGCCGAGAGGUCUGGGUAAUCUUGUGAAACUCCGUCGUGCUGGGGAUAGAGCAUUGUAAUUAUUGCUCUUCAACGAGGAAUUCCUAGUAAGCGCAAGUCA